rnacentral:rRNA from 1 species
UACAGAGGUCUCAAGCGUUGUUCGGAUUCAUUGGGCGUAAAGGGUGCGUAGGCGGCGCGGUAAGUCGGGUGUGAAAUUUCGAGGCUUAACUUCGAAACUGCAUUCGAUACUGCCGUGCUUGAGGACUGGAGAGGAGACUGGAAUUUACGGUGUAGCGGUGAAAUGCGUAGAUAUCGUAAGGAAGACCAGUGGCGAAGGCGGGUCUCUGGGCCGAUACUGACGCUGAGGAGCGAAAGCGUGGGGAGCAAACAGG